rnacentral:rRNA from 1 species
UACGGAGGGUGCAAGCAUUAUCCGGAUUCACUGGGUUUAAAGGGUGCGUAGGCGGACAGGUAAGUCAGUGGUGAAAUCUCUGGGCUUAACCCAGAAACUGCCGUUGAUACUAUUUGUCUUGAAUAUCCUGGAGGUAGGCGGAAUAUGUCAUGUAGCGGUGAAAUGCUUAGAUAUGACAUAGAACACCGAUAGCGAAGGCAGCUUACUACAGGAUGAUUGACGCUGAGGCACGAAAGCGUGGGGAGCAAACAGG